rnacentral:tRNA from 1 species
AAGAAAUUAGUUUAUAAAAAACGUUUUGUUGCAAACAAAAAAAAAUUAUUUAUUUCUUU